rnacentral:rRNA from 1 species
GACGAACGCUGGCGGCGUGCCCAAUACAUGCAAGUAGAACGCUGAAGAGAGGAGCUUACUCUUCUUGGAUGAGUUGCGAACGGGUGAGUAACGCGUAGGUAACCUGCCUUGUAGCGGGGGAUAACUAUUGGAAACGAUAGCUAAUACCGCAUAACAAUGGAUGACACAUGUCAUUUAUUUGAAAGGGGCAAUUGCUCCACUACAAGAUGGACCUGCGUUGUAUUAGCUAGUAGGUGAGGUAAUGGCUCACCUAGGCGACGAUACAUAGCCGACCUGAGAGGGUGAUCGGCCACACUGGGACUGAGACACGGCCCAGACUCCUACGGAAGGCAGCAGUAGGGAAUCUUCGGCAAUGGGGGCAACCCUGACCGAGCAACGCCGCGUGAGUGAAGAAGGUUUUCGGAUCGUAAAGCUCUGUUGUAAGUCAAGAACGGGUGUGAGAGUGGAAAGUUCACACUGUGACGGUAGCUUACCAGAAAGAGACGGCUAACUACGUG